rnacentral:rRNA from 1 species
UACGAAGGGGGCUAGCGUUGUUCGGAAUUACUGGGCGUAAAGGGCGCGUAGGCGGCGUGUCAAGUCAGGCGUGAAAGCCCCGGGCUCAACCUGGGAACCGCGCUUGAGACUGGCACGCUCGAGUUCGGGAGAGGAUGGUGGAAUUCCCAGUGUAGAGGUGAAAUUCGUAGAUAUUGGGAAGAACACCGAUGGCGAAGGCAGCCAUCUGGACCGACACUGACGCUGAGGCGCGAAAGCGUGGGGAGCAAACAGG